GAUGAACGUUGGCGGUGUGCCUAAUACAUGCAAGUCGAACGGAGCUAAUAGCAAUAUUGGCUUAGUGGCGAACGGGUGAGUAACGCGUUGGUGAUCUGCCUUGAAGUGUGGAAUAACGUUUCGAAAGAGACGCUAAUACCGCAUGUGCUCUCGAUUUUUAGAAACUUGAGAGUAAAGGAUUUAUUCGCUUCAAGAGGAGCCUGCGUCCCAUCAGCUGGUUGGUAGGUAACGCCUACCAAGGCUAUGACGGGUAGGGGACCUGAGAGGGUGGCCCCCCACAAUGGAACUGAAACACGGUCCAUACACCUACGGGAGGCUG
rnacentral:rRNA from 1 species